UAGAGCAUUUGACUGCAGAUCAAGAGGUCCCCGGUUCAAAUCCGGGCGCCCCCU
rfam:Balearica pavonina gibbericeps contig62842, whole genome shotgun sequence.